GAUUCUGGCUCAGGAUGAACGCUGGCGGCGUGCCUAAUACAUGCAAGUCGUACGAGGGAAGUCCAGCUUGCUGGACAGAACGAAUGGCGAACGGGUGAGUAAUACGUAAGCAACCUGCCUGCAAGGACUGGGAUAACACCUGGAAACGGGCGCUAAUACCGGAUAGGUAACAAAGGGGCAUCCCUAUGUUAUUAAAGGUUAGAAACACAAGCAGAUGGGCUUACGGUGCAUUAGCUAGUUGGUGAGGUAACGGCCCACCAAGGCGAUGAUGCAUAGCCGGCCUGAGAGGGUGAACGGCCACAUUGGGACUGAGACACGGCCCAGACUCCUACGGGAGGCAGCAGUAGGGAAUUUUCGGCAAUGGACGAAAGUCUGACCGUGCAACGCCGCCGUGAGUGAAGAAGGUUUUCGGAUUGUAAAGCUCUGUUGUAAGGGAAGAACAGCACGGAAAGAAUCCGUGAAUGACGGUACCUUACCAGAAAGCCACGGCUAACUACGUGCCAGCAGCGGC
rnacentral:rRNA from 1 species